rnacentral:rRNA from 1 species
UACGUAGGUGGCAAGCGUUGUCCGGAAUUAUUGGGCGUAAAGCGCGCGCAGGCGGUCCUUUAAGUCUGAUAUGAAAGCCCCCGGCUCAACCGGGGAGGGUCAUUGGAAACUGGGGAACUUGAGUGCAGAAGAGGAGAGCGGAAUUCCACGUGUAGCGGUGAAAUGCGUAGAGAUGUGGAGGAACACCAGUGGCGAAGGCGGCUCUCUGGUCUGUAACUGACGCUGAGGCACGAAAGCGUGGGGAGCAAACAGG